UCACAAAAUCUCAUUGAAUAUUACAAAUUUAACCAAUACAAAAUAUAUUGUAAAAUAAAGUUGGUCAGAAAAUAUUAAAUACAUUUAUGUUUGCAUUGAAAGUUCAAAACAAAACUUAUUUUGCAACAAAAAAAAAAACCUUAAACUACAUAAAAUUGAAACGUGGAGAGUAGAUGUUAAUCUACAAAACAAGAUUUUCAGGGGAGACUUAACUCUGUUAAUUUAUUCUGUUUAGUCAAAUGACACAAGUUGGAAUCCCAAAAUUGUUUUAACAUAUUUUGAUAAUGGGCUAAAGGACUUGUUUUUCUUUAGGCAAAAAAUUUAUCGGGCUUAGUCUGCAUAAGAAGUCUAAAAAUCAGUAUACUAUUGUGAAAAAACCGAGUUUCAUGAGUCGUUGAUAUAAAUCACAAAAUUUAACUAAUAUGGUGGAUAAUGAGAGUAUUGAGUCGAUUUUAAAUCAGAAUGGCAAGUGAAAAGUACACUCAAACAAUAAAAAAACUUUUAAUGUUUAUGGCCAUGUUUGUUUGUCCAUCCACAUGAUCCAUCCAAAUGGAGAUGAAAAAUGAUGUUUGUUUUUGACAAUUUAACAAGCAUUUGGAUGGAUCAUCUGGAUGAUACAUCUGAAUGAGUUUCUAAAUUUAGGCAAAUUUAUGAAACUCAUUUUGAUGAAUUUGAUUAAACCAUUUGGAUGGAGAUGGUUCAUCCAAAAAUAACAAAAGACUGAUAUACCCUCAUUUAUAGUCAUAAUUUAAAUAAUUUUAUUUUCUAUAGAUUUCUUAUUUAAUAUUU
rnacentral:sRNA from 1 species